GGAAGUAAAAGUCGUAACAAGGUUUCCGUAGGUGAACCUGCGGAAGGAUCAUUACUGAUUUGCUUAAUUGCACCACAUGUGUUUUUCUUUGAAACAAACUUGCUUUGGCGGUGGGCCCAGCCUGCCGCCAGAGGUCUAAACUUACAACCAAUUUUUUAUCAACUUGUCACACCAGAUUAUUACUAAUAGUCAAAACUUUCAACAACGGAUCUCUUGGUUCUCGCAUCGAUGAAGAACGCAGCGAAAUGCGAUACGUAAUAUGAAUUGCAGAUAUUCGUGAAUCAUCGAAUCUUUGAACGCACAUUGCGCCCUCUGGUAUUCCGGAGGGCAUGCCUGUUUGAGCGUCGUUUCUCCCUCAAACCGCUGGGUUUGGUGUUGAGCAAUACGACUUGGGUUUGCUUGAAAGACGGUAGUGGUAAGGCGGGAUCGCUUUGACAAUGGCUUAGGUCUAACCAAAAACAUUGCUUGCGGCGGUAACGUCCACCACGUAUAUCUUCAAACUUUGACCUCAAAUCAGGUAGGACUACCCGCUGAACUUAAGCAUAUCAAUAAGCGGAGGAA
rnacentral:misc_RNA from 1 species